AGUUAUCGUUUAUUUGAUAGUACCUCACUACUUGGAUACCUGUGGUAAUUCUAGAGCUAAUACAUGCUAAAAACCUCGACUUCGGAAGGGGUGUAUUUAUUAGAUAAAAAACCAAUGCCCUUCUGGGCUCCUUGGUGAUUCAUAAUAACUCAACGAAUCGCAUGGCCUUGCGCCGGCGAUGGUUCAUUCAAAUUUCUGCCCUAUCAACUUUCGAUGUGUGGAUAGUGGCCACCCAUGGUUUCUACGGGUAACGGGGAAUAAGGGUUCUAUUCCGGAGAGGGAGCCUGAGAAACGGCUACCACAUCCAAGGAAGGCAGCAGGCGCGCAAAUUACCCAAUCCCGACACGGGGAGGUAGUGACAAUAAAUACUGAUACAGGGCUCUUUUGGGUCUUGUAAUUGGAAUGAGUACAAUUUAAAUCCCUUAACGAGGAACAAUUGGAGGGCAAGUCUGGUGCCAGCAGCCGCGGUAAUUCCAGCUCCAAUAGCGUAUAUUAAAGUUGUUGCAGUUAAAAAGCUCGUAGUUGAAACUUGGGCCUGGCNGGCCGGUCCGCCUCACCGCGUGCACUGGUNCGGCCGGGCCUUUCCUUCUGGGGAUCCGCAUGGCCUUCAUUGGUCGUGCUGGGGAACCAGGACUUUUACUUUGAAAAAAUUAGAGUGUUCAAAGCAGGCCUAUGCUCGAAUACAUUAGCAUGGAAUAAUAGAAUAGGACGUGUGGUUCUAUUUUGUUGGUUUCUAGGACCGCC
rnacentral:rRNA from 1 species